GAUGAACGCUGGCGGCGUGCCUAAUACAUGCAAGUAGAACGCUGAAGGAGGAGCUUGCUCUUCUGGAUGAGUUGCGAACGGGUGAGUAACGCGUAGGUAACCUGCCUGGUAGCGGGGGAUAACUAUUGGAAACGAUAGCUAAUACCGCAUGACAACAGUUAUUGCAUGAUAACUGUUUAAAAGGGGCAACUGCUCCUCUACCAGAUGGACCUGCGUUGUAUUAGCUAGUUGGUGAGGUAACGGCUCACCAAGGCGACGAUACAUAGCCGACCUGAGAGGGUGAUCGGCCACACUGGGACUGAGACACGGCCCAGACUCCUACGGGAGGCAGCAGUAGGGAAUCUUCGGCAAUGGACGGAAGUCUGACCGAGCAACGCCGCGUGAGUGAAGAAGGUUUUCGGAUCGUAAAGCUCUGUUGUAAGAGAAGAACGAGUGUGAGAGUGGAAAGUUCACACUGUGACGGUAUCUUACCAGAAAGGGACGGCUAACUACGUG
rnacentral:rRNA from 1 species